rnacentral:rRNA from 1 species
CCUACGGGAGGCAGCAGUGAGGAAUAUUGGUCAAUGGACGAGAGUCUGAACCAGCCAAGUAGCGUGAAGGAUGACUGCCCUAUGGGUUGUAAACUUCUUUUAUAUGGGAAUAAAAUGUUCCACGUGUGGGAUUUUGUAUGUACCAUAUGAAUAAGGAUCGGCUAACUCCGUGCCAGCAGCCGCGGUAAUACGGAGGAUCCGAGCGUUAUCCGGAUUUAUUGGGUUUAAGGGGAGCGUAGGUGGAUUGUUAAGUCAGUUGUGAAAGUUUGCGGCUCAACCGUAAAAUUGCAGUUGAAACUGGCUGUUUUGAGAAAAGUAGAGGUGGGCGGAAUUCGUGGUGUAGCGGUGAAAGGCUUAGAUAUAACGAAGAACUCCGAUUGCGAAGGCAGCUCACUGGACUGCAACUGACACUGAGGCUCGAAAGUGUGGGUAUAAAACAGGAUUAGAUACACGAGUAGUC